AUGAAGCAAGAUCCGUUGAAUGCUAAAGCUUAUAGUGGUCUUUUGAUGGAAAAUUUGGAAUUGAAGGAGCCAAUGGAGGGAUUUUUCAAUAGGGUUGAUGAAGCGGUGAAGUUUUUCGAGGAGAAAAAAAUGGACUCAGAAGCUAGAGAAUUUAAGCUUUUGAUUGCUCAGGUGAAAGUCAUGGAAGAGGAUUAUUCAGGGUGUAUAAGGAAAUUGUCAAAGAAGAACCGAGUGAUUUUAGACCUUAUUUGUGUCGAGGCCUUGUUUAUCCUCUGCUUAGAAAGAAUGAUGAAGCUGAGAAACAGUUUGAGAAUAUAG
rnacentral:lncRNA from 1 species